CAGCCGCCACGGUAAAACGUAGGCGGCAAGCGUUGUCCGGAAUUAUUGGGCGUAAAGGGCUCGCAGGCGGUUUCUUAAGUCUGAUGUGAAAGCCCCCGGCUCAACCGGGGAGGGUCAUUGGAAACUGGGAAACUUGAGUGCAGAAGAGGAGAGUGGAAUUCCACGUGUAGCGGUGAAAUGCGUAGAGAUGUGGAGAAACACCAGUGGCGAAGGCGACUCUCUGGUCUGUAACUGACGCUGAGGAGCGAAAGCGUGGGGAGCGAACAGGAUUAGAUACCCCAGUAGUCCCUGUCUCUUAUAU
rnacentral:rRNA from 1 species